AUUUCUUUAGUAUAAUAGUACGGAUGCCUUCCAAGCAUCAAGCCCCACAUGGGAAGAAAUA
rnacentral:tRNA from 1 species